UCAGGACGAACGCUGGCGGCGUGCUUAACACAUGCAAGUCGAACGAUGAAGCCCUUCGGGGUGGAUUAGUGGCGAACGGGUGAGUAACACGUGGGCAAUCUGCCCUGCACUCUGGGACAAGCCCUGGAAACGGGGUCUAAUACCGGAUACGACCGCCGACCGCAUGGUCUGGUGGUGGAAAGCUCCGGCGGUGCAGGAUGAGCCCGCGGCCUAUCAGCUUGUUGGUGGGGUGAUGGCCUACCAAGGCGACGACGGGUAGCCGGCCUGAGAGGGCGACCGGCCACACUGGGACUGAGACACGGCCCAGACUCCUACGGGAGGCAGCAGUGGGGAAUAUUGCACAAUGGGCGAAAGCCUGAUGCAGCGACGCCGCGUGAGGGAUGACGGCCUUCGGGUUGUAAACCUCUUUCAGCAGGGAAGAAGCGAGAGUGACGGUACCUGCAGAAGAAGCGCCGGCUAACUACGUGCCAGCAGCCGCGGUAAUACGUAGGGCGCAAGCGUUGUCCGGAAUUAUUGGGCGUAAAGAGCUCGUAGGCGGCUUGUCACGUCGGAUGUGAAAGCCCGGGGCUUAACCCCGGGUCUGCAUUCGAUACGGGCAGGCUAGAGUUCGGUAGGGGAGAUCGGAAUUCCUGGUGUAGCGGUGAAAUGCGCAGAUAUCAGGAGGAACACCGGUGGCGAAGGCGGAUCUCUGGGCCGAUAC
rnacentral:rRNA from 1 species